AUUGAACGCUGGCGGCAUGCCUUACACAUGCAAGUCGAACGGCAGCACGGGUGCUUGCACCUGGUGGCGAGUGGCGAACGGGUGAGUAAUACAUCGGAACAUGUCCUGUAGUGGGGGAUAGCCCGGCGAAAGCCGGAUUAAUACCGCAUACGAUCCACGGAUGAAAGCGGGGGACCUUCGGGCCUCGCGCUAUAGGGUUGGCCGAUGGCUGAUUAGCUAGUUGGUGGGGUAAAGGCCUACCAAGGCGACGAUCAGUAGCUGGUCUGAGAGGACGACCAGCCACACUGGGACUGAGACACGGCCCAGACUCCUACGGGAGGCAGCAGUGGGGAAUUUUGGACAAUGGGCGAAAGCCUGAUCCAGCAAUGCCGCGUGUGUGAAGAAGGACUUCGGGUUGUAAAGCACUUUUGUCCGGAAAGAAAUCCUUGACUCUAAUACAGUCGGGGGGUGACGGUACCGGAAGAAUAAGCACCGGCUAACUACGUG
rnacentral:rRNA from 1 species